rnacentral:rRNA from 1 species
GGCUCAGAUUGAACGCUGGCGGCGUGCUUAACACAUGCAAGUCGCGCGUGAAAGGACUUCGGUCCGAGUAAAGCGGCGCACGGGUGAGUAACGCGUGGAUGAUCUACCCAUGAGUUAGGAAUAACGGCUGGAAACGGUCGCUAAUACCAAAUACGCUCCGAUUUCAACUUCGGGGGAAAGGUGGCCUCUGCUUGCAAGCUACUGCUCAUGGAUGAGUCCGCGUCCCAUUAGCUAGUUGGUGGGGUAACGGCCCACCAAGGCGACGAUGGGUAGCCGGUCUGAGAGGAUGACCGGCCACACUGGGACUGGAACACGGCCCAGACUCCUACGGGAGGCAGCAGUGGGGAAUAUUGCGCAAUGGGCGAAAGCCUGACGCAGCGACGCCGCGUGAGGGAUGAAAGGUCCUCGGAUCGUAAACCUCUGUCAGGAGGGAAGAACCGCCACGGUGCUAAUCAGCCGUGGUCUGACGGUACCUCCAAAGGAAGCACCGGCUAACUCCGUGCCAGCAGCUGC